UACUGAAGGCUGGGUUGCUGGGCACAAGCAGCCCAGAGCAGCUGCUAUUGUGAGGUCAAGGGAGCGGUGCCACGUCACAGUGCUGUCAGCGCAGCCUUGUCCCGGUGCGCGCAAGGCCUGGCUGUCCAGAGCAGCUCUUGCGCUCGCUCCCUGCAGGAGGAUCCUUGUGAUCAAGGAGUUCUCAGCAGACGGCCUGCACCCCGAGAGGAGUCUUGGUUUUUCCCUUGGGUGGCAUUCAGUGUGCAAACCCGCACGGCGCUGCUAAGAUGAUCCAGCAAGUCUGUGCCGCGGUUUGCACCGUCUUUUCUCUUGCUUAUUCUGGCUACUACCUGACCCAGCUGACUCGUCACUUCACGCGCAGAUGGAGGCAAGCCUGUCCUUUGGGCUCAGCAGCAGGGUCAGCACCUCCUCUGGCUCCCUCUCUUGUUGAGGAAGAGGCUGAAGAGGAGCAAAGGAGCACCAAGCCUCCACCUGCAGUCCCUCCACAGCCUGAACUUGCAGAGCCAGUAAGUGGCAGCUGAGGUUGGCGCUGCCUUUGGUGCAGAGGCGAGCUUCAAGGUUUGGAUGAGCCAGCCCUUGGUACUUGUGGCUGAGGAUGCUGGCGGCUGUGUGCCUGCCACGACGUAGUGGCUGCUUCAGCCAAGCCAGGCAGCCCUGGCCAGUGGGUUCUGACCUUUGACAUUUAAGCAUCACUUGGCUGCCAUGCUGAGGGGGCCCGAGAAUGUCUCUUGGCAUCAGCCAAGAGGCAGCAUCCAAUUAUUCCCAGGGUAGGAGUGAGCCCCUUGUGCCCACUGUCAGCCCCCUGUGCUCCGUCUGCGUGCCAGCGGACGGAGCGGCCCAAAGACGCGGUUGGCAGCCUUGCAGGAUAUUGGGCAGACUCUGGUCCCUGGAAGGGACACGCCCCUCUCUGUGGACUAAUUAGCCUGAGGCACAAGGUCGACCGUGCUUCAGCUGCGCAGGGGCAGAGCAGAGUUUGGAGAGGAGGAUCCUAGGCAGCUCUGCAUUGUAAAGGGCGGCUGGGUCCCGGCAGGGCUGGAAGGCAGCUGCGAAGGGCCUGAAGUCUGAAAUACAGAGGGGAAAUCAGUGCGGAACAGAUGAGAGAAGGGACAUGAUCUGGCCUUCUGAUCAGACAGUUGCAUGCCAGCUCCGGGCUGAUUUCACUGCCCAGGAAAGCACAGCAGGAGGAAAGCAACAAGGCUCUGGGGCCGUGCUCUGCUGUCUUGGUGGAUCUUUGCAGCCCCAUCGAUACCUUGUAGCCAGUGUCUUGCAGAAAAGCCGAAAAAAAGGAGCAAGGAAGUGGCCAGGAGCUGCUGCAUGAAAGCAGCCUUUGGGGUUUUGCCGUUGCCUUGGAGAAGGGGACAUCAGAAAGGCCCCAGCUGAA